GCCGGGUGUGAUGGCUCAUGCCUGUAAUCCCAGCACUUUGGGAGGCUGAGGUGGGAGGAUCACUUGAGGUCAGGAGUUCGAGACCAGCCUGGCCAACAUGGUGAAAUCCCAUUUCUA
rnacentral:SRP_RNA from 1 species